rnacentral:rRNA from 1 species
AUUGAACGCUGGCGGCAGGCCUAACACAUGCAAGUCGAGCGAGCGGCGGACGGGUGAGUAAUGUCUGGGAAACUGCCUGAUGGAGGGGGAUAACUACUGGAAACGGUAGCUCAUACCGCAUACCAUCAGAUGUGCCCAGAUGGGAUUAGCUAGUAGGUGGGGUAACGGCUCACCUAGGCGACGCGCCCUAGCUGGUCUGAGAGGAUGACCAGCCACACUGGAACGGAGACACGGUCCAGACUCCUACGGGAGGCAGCAGUGGGGAAGAUUGCACAAUGGGCGCAAGCCUGAUGCAGCCAUGACGCGUGUUUGAAGAAGGCCUUCGGGUUGUAAAGCACUUUCAGCGGGGAGGCGUUACCCGCAGAAGAAGCACCGGCUAACUCCGUGCCAGCAGCCGCGGUAAUAC